AACGAACGCUGGCGGCAGGCCUAACACAUGCAAGUCGAGCGAGGACUUCUGUCUUAGCGGCGGACGGGUGAGUAACGCGUUGGAACGUGCCCUUUUCUUCUGAAUAUCCCUGGGAAAUUGGGUGUAAUACCUGAUGAGCCCUUUGGGUGAAAGAUUUAUCGGCGAAGGAUCGGCCCGCGUUUGAUUAGGUAGUUGGUGGGGUAAUGGCCUACCAAGCCGACGAUGCAUAGCUGGUUUGAGAGGAUGAUCAGCCACACUGGGACUGAGACACGGCCCAGACUCCUACGGGAGGGAGGAGUGGGGAAUCUUAGACAAUGGGGGAAACCCUGAUCUAGCCAUGCCGGGUGAGAGAUGAAGGCCUUAGGGUUGUAAAGCUCUUUCAGCUGGGAAGAUAAUGACGGUACCAGCAGAAGAAGCCCCGGCUAACUCCGUG
rnacentral:rRNA from 1 species